rnacentral:rRNA from 1 species
GGCGAACGCUGGCGGCGUGCCUAAUACAUGCAAGUAGAACGCUGAAGGAGGAGCUUGCUCUUCUGGAUGAGUUGCGAACGGGUGAGUAACGCGUAGGUAACCUGCCUGGUAGCGGGGGAUAACUAUUGGAAACGAUAGCUAAUACCGCAUAACAGUAGAUGUUGCAUGACAUUUACUUAAAAGGUGCAAUUGCAUCACUACCAGAUGGACCUGCGUUGUAUUAGCUAGUUGAUGGGGUAACGGCUCACCAAGGCGACGAUACAUAGCCGACCUGAGAGGGGGAACGGCCACACUGGGACUGAGACACGGCCCAGACUCCUACGGGAGGCAGCAGUAGGGAAUCUUCGGCAAUGGACGGAAGUCUGACCGAGCAACGCCGCGUGAGUGAAGAAGGUUGUCGGAUCGUAAAGCUCUGUUGUAAGAGAAGAACGAGUGUGAGAGUGGAAAGUUCACACUGUGACGGUAUCUUACCAGAAAGGGACGGCUAACUACGUG